AUGCUCACUUCAGGAGCACAUACACUGGAACAAUACAGAGAAGAUGAACAUGGCCCCUGUGCAAGGGUGACAUGCAAAUUUGUGAAGCGCUCCAUAUUUUU
rnacentral:snRNA from 1 species